rnacentral:lncRNA from 1 species
UCGUGUCGUUGAAGGCUGCUUAUGUUUUUAGUGACGGUUCGAGCAUCAAUAGACGCGGAAACGGUUACUCUCGAGCCGUGGAAGUGACCUUGUUCGCGUGUUCAUUUGGGUUGGCAAUUGGGCAUGUAAUUGUGGCGUAUAGGACGAGUUGCAGAGAGCGGAGAAAGCUUCUUAUUUACAAAAUUGACAUUGAAGCUGUAAGUCAAUCUAUCUCUUUGUUUGUGAGCUAAGCAACUAGAAAAUAGAAAUAAGUAUUUAUGGUCAUUUCACUUGUCGAUUGAAAAUUUUGGUGGGGUCCACUUAAGCUGUAUACAUAAGACCAAGAAUUGGUCUACUAGAGUUGUUGACGUCUAAAAAAUAUCAAUUCUUCGUGGUUUGGGAGAUUCUAGAAGAAUCUGGAACUGAGAGCUUUCUUAGGCUCUAUAUUAAUGUUUUGAGUAGUUAUUUUUAGUAGAAUACGUGGUCAAAAAAUAGAAAAAAAUUUGAGUGUACAUACGGAAAAUUCAAUCAUGUUACAAGUACAUAAUUUUUUGACAGGAAAACCUUACAGACAAUACAUGGCGCGACAUCAUUGAAAGAUGAGGAAAAAAAGAAAAUACUGUUCACUUACAUUUUGCCAUGUCAACGUUUGUACAAGUUCUGUUAAAUUUUUCCUGUACUUAUGACUUUAUUGCAGAAAACUUUAUCGUACGAGUGUACAGUAAAAAAUGAAUACCUAGGAAAAAUAGUUUUCAAAUAAUGAGCAUAAUGUAAGAUUUUCGCUAAUGUUGGUUGAGUGCAUUAAAUCAAAAUAAACUGGAAAAUAUUCGUGAAUUUCCCAAAUUGAGACAAAAUGAUUUUUGCAAGUAAAAACAUGUUUGUUGAAUUAUUUAAUACAACUUCACUGUCCUAAAUGUUAAUUGCAAUCGACGCGGAUACGGAUACUCUCGAGCCGUGGAAGUGACCUUGUUCGUGUGUUCAUUUGGGUUGGCAAUUGGGCAUGUAAUUGUGGCAUAUAGGACUAGUUGCAGAGAGAGGAGAAAGCUUCUUGUUUACAAAAUUGACAUUGAAGCCGUAAGUCAAUCUCUCUCUUUCUUUGUGAGCUAAGCAACUAGAAAAUAGAAAUAAGUAUUUAUGGUCAUUUCACUUGUCGAUUGAAAAUUUAGGUGGGGUCCACUUAAGC